GGGGAAUUAGCUCAAGUGGUAGAGCGCUCGCUUAGCAUGCGAGAGGUACCAGGAUCGAUACCUGGAUUCUCCA
rfam:Octopus bimaculoides Scaffold1183_contig_6, whole genome shotgun sequence.